rnacentral:ncRNA from 1 species
AGAUAAACGUAGAAGAGGAUAAGUAACAGCGGAAACGCCGUCUGCAGAGAGCCGGGAUUGCUGAAAACCGGUGGCGGCCUCCGCUUGCGAACUCCCCUCUGAGUGCCGGUUUGAACGAUUCGUCAGAAUUUAGUAGGGCCGGCCGGGUGAACCGAAUCGAUCACUCGUUAUUAAAGCGGAUAUAGUUAUCCAUAAGGCGGCCGUAACGGCCGUGAACAAGGGUGGUACCGCGGAAAGAAAAGCCUUUUCGCCCCUUUG